ACGAACGCUGGCGGCGUGCCUAAUACAUGCAAGUCGAGCGGGUUUCACCUUCGGGUGAAGCUAGCGGCGGACGGGUGAGUAACACGUAGGCAACCUGCCUGUAAGAUCGGGAUAACUACCGGAAACGGUAGCUAAGACCGGAUAGAUGGUUUCUCUGCAUGGAGAGACUAGGAAACACGGUGCAAGCUGUGGCUUACAGAUGGGCCUGCGGCGCAUUAGCUAGUUGGUGAGGUAACGGCUCACCAAGGCGACGAUGCGUAGCCGACCUGAGAGGGUGAUCGGCCACACUGGGACUGAGACACGGCCCAGACUCCUACGGGAGGCAGCAGUAGGGAAUCUUCCGCAAUGGACGCAAGUCUGACGGAGCAACGCCGCGUGAGUGAUGAAGGUUUUCGGAUCGUAAAGCUCUGUUGCCAAGGAAGAACGCCUCGGAGAGUAACUGCUCUGAGGGUGACGGUACUUGAGAAGAAAGCCCCGGCUAACUACGUG
rnacentral:rRNA from 1 species